rnacentral:rRNA from 1 species
CCUCGGGUGGCUGCAGUGGGGAAUAUUGGACAAUGGGCGAAAGCCUGAUCCAGCCAUGCCGCGUGUGUGAAGAAGGCCUUCGGGUUGUAAAGCACUUUCAGUGGGGAAGAAAGCCUUGGGGCUAAUACCCUCGAGGAAGGACAUCACCCACAGAAGAAGCACCGGCUAACUCCGUGCCAGCAGCCGCGGUAAUACGGAGGGUGCGAGCGUUAAUCGGAAUUACUGGGCGUAAAGCGCGCGUAGGCGGUCUGAUAAGCCGGUUGUGAAAGCCCCGGGCUCAACCUGGGAACGGCAUCCGGAACUGUCAGGCUAGAGUGCAGGAGAGGAAGGUAGAAUUCCCGGUGUAGCGGUGAAAUGCGUAGAGAUCGGGAGGAAUACCAGUGGCGAAGGCGGCCUUCUGGACUGACACUGACGCUGAGGUGCGAAAGCGUGGGUAGCAAACAGGAUUAGAUCCCCGAGUAGUC